AUGAGGGGGUGGUAUCUGUGGGAAGUCUGAGGAGAGACCAGCGUGCAGACAGAGGGGAGCAAUAGAAAUUGACAUAGGAAAGAAUGAGUGGAGAAAGCAAGAGACGUAGGAAGAAGAGAGAGGCAGAUGCUGUUGGAAUCAGGAACUGAGAGAAAGAAGUUGGAGGCAGAUUGUCCAAGACAGGAAUGCAAUGAGCAUUUCAGAACAGAGUUUGUCCAAAGAGAAGCUGGACGAGCCCCAGCCUAAGCCAGCAGACUUCAAUGGGGUGGGAACAAGCAGGUAUAUCCUUCAAGAGAUGGACUGUGGUUUCUUUGCCAUCUGCGAGAAUCAAUGUGUGAUAAAAGUUGAAGAGAUCAGUCUUGAAACUUUGCUGUAAACUGCUGGCCAUCUCCACAGAAUGACAGGAGAACAUGACCAAGAGAAGCCCGAAGGCCAGGCAAGGCUGGGAUC